rnacentral:lncRNA from 1 species
GGGUUGAAAAUAACCCAAUUAACAGGAGCGCGCGGAUCCCCCAUGGAGCGGGUCGGGUCGCGCACGGAUCUGGGUCAAUACGGCGUCGUUUUGGAGCCACUGAUCAGACUCCAAACGGCGUCGUUUCGCACAUCAGGUAAAGGUCAAAAGCAAAACCCUAAAUUGGCAGCUAUCGCUUCAGUUUUUCAAAAUGAAAAUAAAAAAGAAAAUAAAAAAAUAAAGAAUAAAAAGAACC